rnacentral:rRNA from 1 species
GGAUGCGAUCAUACCAGCACUAAAGCACCGGAUCCCAUCAGAACUCCGAAGUUAAGUGUGCUUGGGCGAGAGUAGUACUAGAAUGGGUGACCUCCUGGGAAGUCCUCGUGUUGCAUUCC